rnacentral:rRNA from 1 species
GACGUAGGGCGCGAGCGUUGUCCGGAUUUAUUGGGCGUAAAGAGCUCGUAGGCGGCUUGUCGCGUCGUCCGUGAAAACCCACAGCUCAACUGUGGGCGUGCGGGCGAUACGGGCAGACUUGAGUACUGCAGGGGAGACUGGAAUUCCUGGUGUAGCGGUGGAAUGCGCAGAUAUCAGGAGGAACACCGGUGGCGAAGGCGGGUCUCUGGGCAGUAACUGACGCUGAGAAGCGAAAGCGUGGGGAGCGAACAGG